UAGAAUCGCAGAGCCAGAUAAAAAGGGGCACCCAGCUUCAAUCAGUCCAUUGAACUCAGGAAGACGAUUCUGGGUGUUUACACCAUGGCUUGGACUCCACUACUUCUCAUUUUCCUUCAUCAAUUAAGAGGGUCAUGUGCCCAGGUUCUGCUAACUCAGCCAAACUCUGUUUCUGGGUCUCUUGGGAGCACAGUCACCAUCUCCUGCAAGCGCAGCAGUGGUAAUAUUGGAAGCUACUUUGUGCACUGGUACCAGCAACACGUUGAAAGUCCACCCACCAAUGUGAUCUAUGGUGACAAUAAAAGACCAUCUGGGAUUCCUGAUCGGUUCUCUGGCUCCAUUGACAGCUCCUCCAACUCAGCCUCUCUGACCAUCACUAAUCUGCAGAUUGAGGAUGAGGCUGACUACUACUGCCAGUCUUAUGAUGAUAGUAGCAAUAGACACAGUGAUGAGAAUCAUGGGGAAGUAAGACAAAAACUUCCGAGAGCACCAGCUGUGAAAUCAUUUGUGAAAAAGACUAUUGUUUUUUAUGUUUCCUACAAAAUAUUGGUAUUUGGAUUGCCAAAUCAUAAUUUUCUUUCAGUUCAGAGUAACAUUCUACUUUCUCCUCCCUCUUAUGGAUGGCUUUGCUCUUUAUACAUGUAUGCUCGAUCCAUGGGAUAGAAAUGUUUGAAAUUA